rnacentral:tRNA from 1 species
CGCUAAGAAGCUAAACUGGGCAUAGCGUAGCCUUUUAGUGAAAAAGUGGGUCGGCCCACCACCCUUAGCGG